AACGAACGCUGGCGUCAUGCCUAACACAUGCAAGUCGAACGAGACCUUCGGGUCUAGUGGCGCACGGGUGCGUAACGCGUGGGAACCUGCCCUUAGGUUCGGAAUAACUCCCCGAAAGGGGUGCUAAUACCGGAUAAUGUCUUCGGACCAAAGAUUUAUCGCCUUUGGAUGGGCCCGCGUUGGAUUAGCUAGUUGGUAGGGUAAAAGCCUACCAAGGCGACGAUCCAUAGCUGGUCUGAGAGGAUGAUCAGCCACACUGGGACUGAGACACGGCCCAGACUCCUACGGGAGGCAGCAGUGGGGAAUAUUGGACAAUGGGCGAAAGCCUGAUCCAGCAAUGCCGCGUGAGUGAUGAAGGCCUUAGGGUUGUAAAGCUCUUUUACCCGGGAUGAUAAUGACAGUACCGGGAGAAUAAGCUCCGGCUAACUCCGU
rnacentral:rRNA from 1 species